rnacentral:lncRNA from 1 species
GUGGCAGCUGAUGCUUGCAAGUUAAUGGGAUAUCGGAAAUAUUUCGAACAAACGGUACAAGAUGAGAUUUGGUACCAAAACAUAUGAUAACAGAUGAAACACAUAUUGCUACAGUGAAAGAUUACAUUCAUGAAGGAAAUGUUUUCAGAUAUUUUAUUACAGUAAUCUGGAUGAGAUCCCCGCAUACUAUGGUGGCCCAAAUAACUGCUGAAAAAGGUUGUCUCUGCAAAAUUUCUGUAGGACAGUGAUAAUAUAUGACAUAAUGGAUUGUGCACGUUCCAAAACACUGUAAGACAAACUUAAAAAGGAGCUGAAGUUUCUGCUGCUGAGGCCGCAGAAUAAAGACCUUUGGAAUGAUCAACUCCUGGCUGCUUCUAAUGUUAGGACAGGAGGAGUUACAUGAAGUCCAUGGGACUUACCAACUCAUACACAAAAACAGCUCCUGGAGAAUGCAAGGUACCAAAACUGAACGUUACGAAUAGGAAUGACUUUGCUGAACAUCAAGAAAAGGCAAUUUCACAAACCGAAAAGCCUGAGGAUCAGUCUACUGUUGCAGCAGAACAGGAAUACGAAGCAGCUAAAUUGUAUGCCUGGUCACAGGCAUUAUCUCUUGAGGACACUCAAUGCUUUGCGUCCUCAGCUGAUCCUCAGCACAAGUCUUCAGCAGUUAAAGCACUAGAAAAUUGCUAG